ACAGAAUCUUUCAUCUUGUAUAUAUAAACACAAAAAGGUUCAAUAAAAGACAUAUAGCCAGAGAGAAAUAAACUAAGUCACUUCUAAAAUGGCAGUUAGGGUUUAUUACAAGCCACUCCUCCUGGCACUUCUUCUCAUCAUCUUAAUUUAUUCUCCUGCUCAAGCACGAAACACAGGAGAAAUCGUGAGGAAUAGAAAGCUAUUGGCUGUGGAGAAGGAGCAGGAGACUCAGAACUCAAGGCAAGACGGAGGAAGUGAUGGUUAUGGAUUGGUGGAUAUGGAUUAUAAUAGUGCGAACAAGAAAAGACCGAUACACAACCGCUAAUUAAUAAACACGUGAUGAAUUUAUCAAUUUCUUGUGAGAUAUCCCAAGAUUCUAUGAUAUCCCGAGAUUGAUAUAAUAUAUUCAACAGAAAUUACUAUCAAGUAUUGGGAACUAAAAUAUUUUAUGAAUAAAAAUUAUAAAAUAUUAAUAAUCGAGUUUGUAUACAUGUAGUUUAGUAUAAUCGAGUUUAUAUAAACAUAAAAAUACAAACAAUUCUAUAUAAUAAUCAUAGUUUGUGUGUGUUAUAUCAUGGGUUUCGGUUUGUGAAUGAAUGUCAAUGAAUAUACUUCUUUUAUAUUGAACUAAUCAAUGGAGAUACAUAUUUUGUGUAUAUACUAUAUAUACUCUUAAUAUCUUAUGUUAAGUUUAAUGAUACAUUGUCUAUAUAAUUACAUGUGUUGAUAAUUGAAUCGAUCGUCGUUUAUAAUACUAUAAACUCAAAUAUUUCUGAUAAUAAUAUAAACAUAUUAUAUAUUUUUGUUAUAUUUUCAAUACACACAACAACAAACAACAUGUUAUCAUCAUCUCAACGGUGAUCAUGUCCAUUGUGUGAGAAGUCUUUGGUCUGACUGAUUGUUUGGACAAAAUUAAUAUUACAUGUUGUGGUUUUAGGCAUAGAGGAUUACGGACUUUGAUCUCGAAUUUUAUGGUAUUCAAAAAAGGAUAAUAUAACAAACAACAAACAAAAAAAUACUAAUAUAAACAACUUUCUAAUGAAUAAGCCUUGUAUGAAAAUAAUAUCAGAGAUCUAGAGAAUACUCGUCCAUCAAUGCACAUAUAAACGUGUUAGAAUUCACGAGACUCACUUUAUAUCCCAAAUUCGAUGAUUCUAGUGAUCAUCAAUACUUUUUUCACAUGACAAACUGAGAUGCAAAACGCAAUAAAUUCAUGGGACAUGUGUUAUGUAUGAAAUAGACAUCAUUCGAAAACGAAAAAAAGUAAAUCAACAAACUCAUGUGGAACAACCUAGUAGGCUAUAACCAAAAAUACAUAUUAUCUCGGCCCAUUAAAUAAACGUUUAUCUCAGCCCAUUACGUAAACGUAAUAUCGGCCCAUUAAAUAAACCUAUUAUCUCGAAAUCUUUUUCUUAGUUUUUUCUUUUGAAAAAAAAAAAAUUAAACCCGGUCUAUAAAAGACACGUACCUAACCUCACCCGGUGCAGUCCAAGUAUGGACUCUCUCCCGUCUAUUCAAAUGGACCGUAAACAAUAGGCUCAUAUCCGUGUGGCCACAUGUAGAGCUAAUAAUUUUGCACUAGAGGGAAAUCGAUCCCUGAUCUAGACCACGGGACAAUUCUUCUUCUAGUAAAAAAAAAAAAAAAAAAAAACUCCUGCUCCGGCGAAACCACUAGACCAUCAGGAUGUAGUUAUCUUUUUCUUAGUUGAUCCGUGUAAUUUGAUUGCGAAGGAAUAAUAGGUGGAGACAUUUGGUGCUAUGGCAAAAACUGAGAAGAUUGAAUUCGUCCUUGAACAAGUCCGCUUGUGCUUGGAUCGACCGUUCACAAAUCCUACUAUGAAGAUCACCGAGAGAGUAUUUAACGCAGGUACCACCAAAGAUAAAAAGAAACCUAAGGAAGGUGGAGACAUUUUGUGAUAUACCAACAUUGUUGGAGCUUAAGCGGAUUUACUUUUAUGCCUAACCAUUGAGGCAAAUAUAAGUUUGAACACCAAUCUAAAUGUAACCAGCUAUAUCUUUGAAAAAAUUUCUUCCUAUUGGUUCAUUAUAUUUCAGGAAGCAGAGAAGCAUCUAUCUGAGAUGGUUGUGUGAUUAUCAGGAAUAGUCUGAUCGUUAAAGACAGCAACGAAAUUCUAACUCAUGGAAGCUUUUAGAUCUUGGUGAGAAGAGUUGUCAAAUUCACACAGAGACUAUGAUUCAUAAAGCUGCACUAAGAGCUUGAGAAACCGGUAGCCAAACACCCCCACAUUGGAAAGAAUCUUUCAGGUUCUGUCCUAAAAAUUCUUCAUUUAACUUUUGUUGUAUUUGUUUGGUUCACAUAACAGAGUUAAAAAAAAAAAAACUCUUCCUACUUUUUACAACAAAUUUAUUAUUAUGCAAAAAAAAAAGAGAAAA